GUCAAUUCAACUGAUACAGUACCGUUCUUUUUGACAGUUUUGAUGACCAUGACGGAGUUGGUCCAUUGGGGAUUGUUGGGGCCGGACACAGUCCUUUCAGGAGGGGCAGUACUUCACCUGUGAAUCUGCUGGGAUCCUUUAAUGUUACUGGUGCUCUCGAUGCAGCCUCCUCCACGUCGGUGACAUCCUGGUGAAAAUCCAACGUUUCCACAUCCUAACUGUACUCAAGACCAGAACUGCACACAAUACUCCAGAUGUGGCCUGACCAAGACUUUAUACUGUUGAAAAGUAAAUUUCUGACACUUAUACUCAGCAUCUUUUCUGUUGAAGGCAACUAAUUCAUAUCUUCUUUAACAUCAUAUAUGCUUAUGCUUUUUUCCCAGAGCAUAAUUAAACCUAACAGCUUUACACAUGCAAAGCUUGUCUCUUCUCUGAAUUUCAAUUGUCUUCAAUCCAACUUCAGUUGUCUGCACAGUGAGACAGGGAACAGGCAGGCCCUGAAGACACGUGUCCCCAAAGCCAACUGGAAGACCAGCACUCCAACUGCCUUCUCCAGCUGCAUUUUUGUGUGUCCUUCAACUUUACCAGUGCAUCUUAUCUGUUUGGCACAAGGAAUUUAAGACACUGUAACUCUUAGUCUUCUAGUUUCUGCCACUACUCCCAGCUUGUCUCUCACACCUGAAUCAGAGGAUUAAAUAAACUGCAUUUUGAAAGAUACAGAUCUUUGUAAGUUUCUUGUCACAUGAAGGUCAGAGUAAACAGUAUACAUGUUAAUGAUAAAUCCAGUCAAUACAGUGAUAAGAGAAUGUUGCAAAGUUUUGU